AUGGCACUAUCCUGUCCUAGUAUUCAGAUUAGUCUACUGGAUAGCAUCAUGCAUAUUCAGAUUAGCCUACUGGAUAGCAUCAUGCAUAUUCAGAUUAGCCUACUGGAUAGCAUCAUGCAGAAAAGGAUUCAGGUAAUGCAGAUCUCAUCAAAACAUGUCCCUCCAAACAAUUUUUAAGAAGAAAUUGUGAGCGUGUUGGGGAUUGAACACGGAACCUUAUGGUUGAAACUACACACCCCUUGCCACUGCACUAUCAAGUGCAUCUCAAAAAAAAAAAGUGUGCCAUUUCGUAGCUAUGCUUUGUGUUAGUUGAAGACAAAUUCGAUCUCCAUUUCUGCAGGUUCCUGUUCAGCUGUUAGGGAGGGAAGGGAGAGGUGGAGCCGUGUGGGCGCGGACGCUUACCGGGAAGCGGGUAUAGGGGGCCGACGAGAGCCGGAGAAGAGGCCCGCCCGCGGCUCGCCGUCGCAGCGGCGGAUACGACCCCUGCGCUCGAAGAGCCGGAUGAGAAGCUCCAGCCAGCCGCCUCCUUCCAUGGCGGUGAGGCUACGUCCACGGCCAUGGCGACCUUGUACUUCGUCCUAUCGCGGCGGCGGGGGUCGCCGGAGUCCGCGCGCGCGCCGCCGCUGGCCGGAGAGGAGGCCUGGUCGUCGGGAGGGCAGUAGUACAGCUUCAUGGUGGAGGUUUGCAAACAGGCUGACCACGGCGGUUCUACUUUGA
rnacentral:lncRNA from 3 species